rnacentral:SRP_RNA from 1 species
UCUGGGCCCAGUGGUGCAUGUCUGUACUCCCAGCUACUCAGAAGGCUGAGGCGGGAGGAUCACUUGAGCCCAGGAGUUCUGGGGCUGUAGUGUGCUUAUGCCCAUAGGGUAUCCACCCUAAAUUUGGCAUCAUUAUGGUGACCUCCUGGGAAAAGGGGACCACCAGGUUGCCUGAGGAGGGGUGAACUGGCCCAGGUAGGAAACAGAGCAGGUCAGAACUCUGGUCCUGAUGAAUAGUAGGAUUGUGCCUGUAAAUAGCCACUGCACUCCAGCCUGGGCAACAGGAGACCGAGUGUCUCU